UACAGAGGGUGCAAACGUUGUUCGGAUUUACUGGGCGUAAAGCGUGUGUAGGCGGCUUCGCAAGUUGGAUGUGAAAUCCCACGGCUCAACCGUGGACGUGCAUCCAAAACUGCGUCGCUGGAGUCUCGGAGAGGAAGGUGGAAUGCUUGGUGUAGAGGUGAAAUUCGUAGAUAUCAAGCAGAACACCUGCGGCGAAGGCGGCCUUCUGGACGAUGACUGACGCUGAGACACGAAAGCGUGGGGAGCAAACAGG
rnacentral:rRNA from 1 species